UACGUAGGGGGCAAGCGUUGUCCGGAUUUAUUGGGCGUAUAGAGCGUGUAGGCGGCUAGAUAGGUCCGUUGUGAAAACUGGAGGCUCAACCUCCAGCUGUCGAUGGAAACCAUCUGGCUAGAGUCCGGAAGAGGAGAGUGGAAUUCCUGGUGUAGCGGUGAAAUGCGCAGAUAUCAGGAAGAACACCCGUGGCGAAGGCGGCUCUCUGGGACGUGACUGACGCUGAGACGCGAAAGCGUGGGGAGCGAACAGG
rnacentral:rRNA from 1 species